UGCAUAGCUCUGUUGGUGGAGUAUGAGAUUCUUAAUCUCAGAGUUGUGGGUUCAAGCCCCACACUGAGCAU